UACGAACCGUGCGAACGUUGUUCGGAAUCACUGGGCUUAAAGGGCGCGUAGGCGGGCCGGCCGGUCCGGGGUGAAAUCCCCCCGCUCAACGGGGGAACGGCCCCGGACACCGCCGGCCUCGAGGGGGGUAGGGGCGAGCGGAACGCUGGGUGGAGCGGUGAAAUGCGUUGAUAUCCAGCGGAACUCCGGUGGCGAAGGCGGCUCGCUGGGCCCUCUCUGACGCUGAGGCGCGAAAGCCAGGGGAGCGAACGGG
rnacentral:rRNA from 1 species